rnacentral:rRNA from 1 species
GACGAACGCUGGCGGCGUGCUUAACACAUGCAAGUCGAACGAAAAGAGGGAAAGAGCUUGCUCUUUCCGGAAUUGAGUGGCAAACGGGUGAGUAACACGUAAACAACCUGCCUUCAGGAUGGGGACAACAGACGGAAACGACUGCUAAUACCGAAUAAGUUCCAAGGGCCGCAUGGCCCAUGGAAGAAAAGGUGGCCUCUACCUGUAAGCUAUCGCCUGAAGAGGGGCUUGCGUCUGAUUAGCUGGUUGGAGGGGUAACGGCCCACCAAGGCGACGAUCAGUAGCCGGUCUGAGAGGAUGAACGGCCACACUGGAAUUGAGACACGGUCCAGACUCCUACGGGAGGCAGCAGUGGGGAAUCUGCCGCAAUGGGCGAAAGCCUGACGGAGCAACGCCGCGUGAGUGAUGACGGCCUUCGGGUUGUAAAACUCUGUGAUCCGGGACGAAAAGGCAGAGUGCGAAGAACAAACUGCAUUGACGGUACCGGAAAAGCAAGCCACGGCUAACUACGUG